UACGGGGGGGGCAAGCGUUGUUCGGAAUUACUGGGCGUAAAGGGCUCGUAGGCGGCCAACUAAGUUGGGUGUUUAAGCCCGGGGCUCAACCCCGGUUCGCAUCCAAAACUGGUUGACUUGAGUGUAGGAGAGGAAAGUGGAAUUCCACGUGUAGCGGUGAAAUGCGUAGAGAUGUGGAGGAACACCAGUGGCGAAGGCGACUUUCUGGCCUAUAACUGACGCUGAGGCGCGAAAGCGUGGGGAGCAAACAGG
rnacentral:rRNA from 1 species